rnacentral:rRNA from 1 species
UGAGGAAUAUUGGACAAUGGGCGAGAGCCUGAUCCAGCCAUGCCGCGUGCAGGAAGAAUGCCCUAUGGGUUGUAAACUGCUUUUAUACAGGAAGAAACACCCCGACGUGUCGGGGCUUGACGGUACUGUAAGAAUAAGGAUCGGCUAACUCCGUGCCAGCAGCCGCGGUAAUACGGAGGAUCCAAGCGUUAUCCGGAAUCAUUGGGUUUAAAGGGUCCGUAGGUGGAUAAUUAAGUCAGGGGUGAAAUCCUAUAGCUCAACUAUAGAAUUGCCCUUGAUACUGGUUAUCUUGAAUCAUUAUGAAGUAGUUAGAAUAUGUGGUGUAGCGGUGAAAUGCAUAGAUAUUACAUAGAAUACCAAUUGCGAAGGCAGAUUACUAAUAAUGUAUUGACACUGAUGGACGAAAGCGUGGGGAGCGAACA